rnacentral:rRNA from 1 species
UGGGGAAUUUUGGACAAUGGGGGAAACCCUGAUCCAGCCAUCCCGCGUGUGCGAUGAAGGCCUUCGGGUUGUAAAGCACUUUUGGCAGGAAAGAAACGUCGCGGGUUAAUACCCCGCGAAACUGACGGUACCUGCAGAAUAAGCACCGGCUAACUACGUGCCAGCAGCCGCGGUAAUACGUAGGGUGCAAGCGUUAAUCGGAAUUACUGGGCGUAAAGCGUGCGCAGGCGGUUCGGAAAGAAAGAUGUGAAAUCCCAGAGCUUAACUUUGGAACUGCAUUUUUAACUACCGGGCUAGAGCGUGUCAGAGGGAGGUGGAAUUCCGCGUGUAGCAGUGAAAUGCGUAGAUAUGCGGAGGAACACCGAUGGCGAAGGCAGCCUCCUGGGAUAACACUGACGCUCAUGCACGAAAGCGUGGGGAGCAAACAGGAUUAGAUACCCUGGUAGUCCACGCCCUAAACGAUGUCAACUAGCUGUUGGGGCCUUCGGGCCUUGGUAGCGCAGCUAACGCGUGAAGUUGACCGCCUGGGGAGUACGGUCGCAAGAUUAAAACUUAAAUGAAUUGACGGGGGUCAUAGCUGUUU